rnacentral:rRNA from 1 species
UAUACCCUAAAGCUAGCCAAAACAGAUUUACUAAACCCCUCACUAUUAACCAACACACACAACAACACCACGAACUUUAAAACAUUUUUACCUUCUUAGUAUAGGCGAUAGAACAGAAACCUUUGAGCUAUAGAGAAACGUACCGCAAGGGAAAGCUGAAAAAGAAAUGAAACCAAAUCAUUAAAGUAAAAAAAAGUAGAGAUCUCUCCUCGUACCUUUUGCAUCAUGAUUUAGCAAGAACAACUGGGCAAAAAGCCCCUUUAGCCCAACUUCCCGAAACUAAACGAGCUACUUCGGAGCAGCAUAUUAGAGCCAACCCACCUCUGUGGCAAAAGAGGGGGAAGACUCCCAAGUAGCGGUGAUAAGCCUACCGAGUUUAGUGAUAGCUGGUUAUCCAAAAAAAGAACUUAAAUUCUGCAUUAACUUUUUCAACCGGGCAACAAAAAAUCUUUAACCUAGGCCCCUACUUGUAAAAAUUAAUAGUUAUUCAAAAAAGGUACAGCUUUUUUGAAUCAAGAAACAACUUUGUUGGGCGGGUAAUGAUAAUAUUAUUUAAAGGGUCACUCCUCAGUGGGCCUAAAAGCAGCCACCUGCAAAGUAAGCGUUACAGCUCAAGCCCCCAUAACACCGACAAAUCCCUACAACCACUCAAAACCCCCCACUAGACUAUUGGAUUAUUUUAUUUUCCUAUAAAAGAGAUUAUGCUAAAAUGAGUAAUAAGAGGAUACCCCUCUCCCAACAACACCAGUGUAAGUCAGAAAGAAUUAAAUCACUGACAAUUAACCGAUGCCAUACCUUGAGGCCCUUAUGACAUAAACCACAUAACAAGAAAACCCCAUCCUAACCCAUCGUUAACCCUACACAGGGGUGUUCCUCGGGAAAGAUUAAAAGAAAAUAAAGGAACUCGGCAAACACAAACUCCGCCUGUUUACCAAAAACAUCGCCUCUUGCCCUCAUUCAUGUAUAAGAGGUCCCGCCUGCCCUGUGAUUUUUUUAACGGCCGCGGUAUCCUGACCGUGCGAAGGUAGCGUAAUCACUUGUCUUUUAAUUGAAGACCCGUAUGAAAGGCAUUACGAGAGUUUAUCUGUCUCUAUUUUCCAAUCAAUGAAAUUAGUCCUCUCGUGCAGAACCGAGAAUAAUAACAUAAGACGAGAAGACCCUAUGGAGCUUUAAACACUUGAGUUAUUUUUAAAACACCCAAACACCCUACGGACAUAAAUAAAAACUAAUUCUCUAACUUAACUUGUUUUUGGUUGGGGCGACCAAGGGGAAAAGAAAAACCCCCUUAUCGAAUGUGUGAAAUUCACUUAAAAACUAGAGCUACAGCUCUAAUUAAUAGAAAAUCUAACGAACAAUGACCCAGGAACAUUCCUAUUCCUGAUCAAUGAACCAAGUUACCCUAGGGAUAACAGCGCAAUCCUUUCUUAGAGUCCCCAUCGCCGAAAGGGUUUACGACCUCGAUGUUGGAUCAGGACAUCCUAAUGGUGCAACCGCUAUUAAGGGUUCGUUUGUUCAACGAUUAACAGUCCUACGUGAUCUGAGUUCAGACCGGAGUAAUCCAGGUCAGUUUCUAUCUAUGAUGGUAUUCUUCCUAGUACGAAAGGACCGGAAAAAUGAAGCCAAUACCAUUGGUACGCUUCCCCCCAACCUGUUGAAAUCAACUCAAACAGACAAAAGGGCACCACCCCUGAACCAAAGACAAUGGUUU